CCUACGUGUGGCAGCAGUAGGGAAUUUUCCUCAAUGGGCGCAAGCCUGAUCGAGCGAUGCCGCGUGAGUGAAGAAGUACUUCGGGUCGUAAAGCUCUGUUGCGGGGGAAAAAAGGCAGCAUCAGGAAAUGUGUGCUGACUGAUGGUACCCCGCCAGAAAGUCACGGCUAACUACGUGCCAGCAGCCGCGGUAAUACGUAGGUGGCGAGCGGUAUCCGGAAUGAUUGGGCGUAAAGGGUGCGCAGGCGGUCCUGCAAGUCUGGCGGGAAAGCCAUGGGCUCAACUCAUGCAGAGCUUUGGAAACGGGAGGACUGGAGAGCAGGAGAGGGAGGUGGAACUCCAGGUGUAGCGGUAAAAUGCGUAGAUAGAUGGAAGAACACCAGUGGCGAAGGCGGCCGCCUGGCCUGUUGCUGACGCUGAGGCACGAAAGCGUGGGGAGCAAAUAGGAUUAGAUACCCGUGUAGGC
rnacentral:rRNA from 1 species